UUGACGUGAACAACAAACACUCACGACAAUAGACAUUGUGUUUUGACCUUUAUCCGCUCUCGCGUAAAGAGAGUCGCAAAGAAACCCUUAAUCCAAUCAUUGUUUGGGUCAUCACUCUGGAUCUAACCAACCAUUCUUGAAGAAGAUGAUAGCUGUGAUAGGAUUGAUUCUGGAUUUCUCAAAAUGGCUUCCCACUCUCCUGAGGCUAGAGCUAGAGGCAACCACUAUUCAGAUGUUUGUUUUUGAGGAGACAGAGCAUGUCACCUUCUGAAUCUCAAAACAUAGACAGUAUGGAGGAUAUUUUAUGGUUGUCCAUAUCUCUGUUUUGUAGGAUGCUUUUGAAUUGUUGAGCCUUCAGGUGUCUUGAUUGAAUUGCAUACAUCAAUCUCGCCAGUAAGAUCAAUCCACUUUUAUUUUUCUCUUCGCUCCCCAUUGCAAGCCAAAAUCUAAGCAAAGACAUGUAUCAUUUGCAAGUCCAUGAAGUAAGUGCCACAACGACAGAAGAGUAGCUUUUCUCAUCAGCCUUUUUUUGCUAUUUUCCCCGCCAUCUCUGGUUAAUUUAGUAUGUUAGCCACAAAAAUGAAUUAAGUAGACAAAGGUAAAGUGGAUGGUUUAAGAAACGUACAUUAAAAGCAGCAGUUUGAAGAGUAUCAUUUUCUACAUGUGUUUCAGAAGAAGAGCUUGUAUUAUCCCCCUUAUGUGAAUCACCAUAAACUAAAGAACUACGGUCUACGGCUGAGAACAGAUAUCAAGUUUUCCAUGAACGUAAAUGGAAGCUCUGUAUGUCCAUACCGACAAUAAAAAGGCAUGUACCACGGCGGCGAUGUCAGUCCCAAAGAGAUGAAUAUGAAGUGAGUCGGUGUUUCCAUUGAACCUCACGCCGCAGGUGAGUAAACCAAACACCACGAAAGCUCUCCCCACAGGUUUACCGGCGCUAAUGGAGUAAUUGUCUUGAACCGUCGAUCAAUCUCUUCAAAGAGAAGUAAGAACUCUCAUCCUCAUCUCCUCACAAAGAGUCUUUCGCCAUAGCCUUUCGACGAAGCCCACUUCACAAUGAACGGCGGCAGCAAAGAUUUUCCACCACCAUGUGGUUUGUGCCAACUGUAGAUAAGACAAAAACGAUCGAAAGCGGUCCGAAUUGUUUAUCAAACGAUCUUGUGGAGAGAAAAGAGAAAAACAGAAAGAGAUAUAAAAUCUACCAUCUGAUAAACACCAAUAAAAAGCUACUAAAAAAAUAAGUUUCAAAGUUUUAAUAGAAAUAAUUUGAAGUCACUGUUAUGAGGAGCAUAAGAACAUGCUUACCUUUGAAUCCAGUAACGGCAUAUCAACUUCCCAUGAGUUCCCACCGCGCCUGACAUUCGUCGCCUCCCAGCAUCAAUCUAACCUCAACAGUUGAAGAACAUAAACUGGACUUCAAAUUAGAGAGGAAAACUUUGGAGUUAGCCAACUUGCUUGAAGAAUAAGCUUACUUUGCUACUUACAAAGACUGAAAAGAUGGUUCUGAGAGGAAAGAAGCUAACCUAUUAAUACUCGCAGAUACACAGCCUCCUACAAAACAAACUCGUAUUGAAGGUUUAGAUCGUGGUUGGUGAAUUUAAUAAGAGGCUAAACGGAAUGAAUCUGUAAUGGGAACGUUUCAAUUGAUGAAUACAAAGAUCAAACGUCAAGACCAAAACCCAAAGAAGAGUAUUCACGCUUUCUCCACCAUCAAAAUCUCUCUAAUGGCAGAGAAGAGGCGGAUGAACCCAAAACGUCGUGAAGCCGAGGAAGACACGAUAGUCGCUUUGGGGCUUGAACUGCUGAGUAAAUAGAAGGCCCAACCAUGAAGCCCACAAAUAUUAAGCACGACUUUAAAUGAAACGAAGCGUAUUGUAAAAAGGGACAUGUGUCACUCUCUCCUCCCUCUAUUUGAUGACAUGGCAAGAGGAGAAGAGAGUGAAUCUCUUCUUUAUAGUAUAAGUAAUAAAAAAAUGAAUAAUUUCUUUUCUAAGAUAUUUUUUUAGGACAAUCAAAAUCACUCAUUGUGAUAAUUUCUGAAAAUAUUUCAGCAAAGAAUUUAAAGAUAUUUAUAUUAUUAUUUGUGAAGUAAUUUUUUCGUUUCCCUGUUAAAAGUUAAAACGUUUAAAGUUGUUAUUAUCUUUAUAAAUAAUUAGAUUAUAUUCCUAAUAUAUAACUACCCAUAAAUUCAAAACAAAUUUCUUUAAUUUGAAAAUCACCAUUAUCUAAAACGAUUUUAUAUCAUGUUAUCCAAAAAUAUUUUUCAUCAUAAUAUUUUUAAAAUAAAUAUAAAUCUAUGUAUAUAUUAAUGUUUUCAAGUUAAUUUAUGUAAUUAAAUAUAUUUUUUUAUCAUGCACAAAAAUUUAAUACUUAAUUAAUUAUCAAAUAUUUCAAAAAACAUGAAAAUAAUUUAUUCUUAUGGUUAAUGAAUUGAUAAUAUAUUUAUUUAAAAUUUUUUGUAAAAUUAUUAAAAUAUGAAAACACCUAAUUGAUCGUAUUUUGACCUGAACAACAAACACUCACGACAAUAGACAUUGUGUUUUGACCUUUAUCCGCUCUCGCGUAAAGAGAGUCGCAAAGAAACCCUUAAUCCAAUCAUUGUUUGGGUCAUCACUCUGGAUCUAACCAACCAUUCUUAGGAGAAGAGAGUGAAUCUCUUCUUUAUAGUAUAAAUUGUAAACUGUAAAUAUAAUAUUGUCAAAUUAUCCUAUAAAAUUAUAGUUAACUUUAUCUUUUAUUUACUUUAUUAAUAUUAAAUAUUAUAUUAAUAAAAAAAUGAAUAAUUUCUUUUCUAAGAUAUUUUUUUAGGACAAUCAAAAUCACUCAUUGUGAUAAUUUCUGAAAAUAUUUCAGCAAAGAAUUUAAAGAUAUUUAUAUUAUUAUUUGUGAAGUAAUUUUUUCGUUUCCCUGUUAAAAGUUAAAACGUUUAAAGUUGUUAUUAUCUUUAUAAAUAAUUAGAUUAUAUUCCUAAUAUAUAACUACCCAUAAAUUCAAAACAAAUUUCUUUAAUUUGAAAAUCACCAUUAUCUAAAACGAUUUUAUAUCAUGUUAUCCAAAAAUAUUUUUCAUCAUAAUAUUUUUAAAAUAAAUAUAAAUCUAUGUAUAUAUUAAUGUUUUCAAGUUAAUUUAUGUAAUUAAAUAUUUUUUUUUAUCAUGCACAAAAAUUUAAUACUUAAUUAAUUAUCAAAUAUUUCAAAAAACAUGAAAAUAAUUUAUUCUUAUGGUUAAUGAAUUGAUAAUAUAUUUAUUUAAAAUUUUUUGUAAAAUUAUUAAAAUAUGAAAACACCUAAUUGAUCGUAUUUUGACGUGAACAACAAACACUCACGACAAUAGACAUUGUGUUUUGACCUUUAUCCGCUCUCGCGUAAAGAGAGUCGCAAAGAAACCCUUAAUCCAAUCAUUGUUUGGGUCAUCACUCUGGAUCUAACCAACCAUUCUUGAAGAAGAUGAUAGCUGUGAUAGGAUUGAUUCUGGAUUUCUCAAAAUGGCUUCCCACUCUCCUGAGGCUAGAGCUAGAGGCAACCACUAUUCAGAUGUUUGUUUUUGAGGAGACAGAGCAUGUCACCUUCUGAAUCUCAAAACAUAGACAGUAUGGAGGAUAUUUUAUGGUUGUCCAUAUCUCUGUUUUGUAGGAUGCUUUUGAAUUGUUGAGCCUUCAGGUGUCUUGAUUGAAUUGCAUACAUCAAUCUCGCCAGUAAGAUCAAUCCACUUUUAUUUUUCUCUUCGCUCCCCAUUGCAAGCCAAAAUCUAAGCAAAGACAUGUAUCAUUUGCAAGUCCAUGAAGUAAGUGCCACAACGACAGAAGAGUAGCUUUUCUCAUCAGCCUUUUUUUGCUAUUUUCCCCGCCA
rnacentral:lncRNA from 1 species